GAUGAACGCUGGCGGCGUGCCUAAUACAUGCAAGUCGAGCGAACGGACGAGAAGCUUGCUUCUCUGAUGUUAGCGGCGGACGUGUGAGUAACACGUGGAUAACCUACCUAUAAGACUGGGAUAACUUCGGGAAACCGGAUCUAAUACCGGAUAAUAUUUUGAACCGCAUGGUUCAAAAGUGAAAGACGGUCUUGCUGUCACUUAUAGAUGGAUCCGCGCUGCAUUAGCUAGUUGGUAAGGUAACGGCUUACCAAGGCAACGAUGCAUAGCCGACCUGAGAGGGUGAUAGGCCACCCGGGAACUGAGACAGGGUCCCGACUCCUACGGGAGGCAGCAGUAGGGAAUCUUACGCAAUGGGCGAAAGCCUGACGGAGCAACGCCGAGUGAGUGAUGAAGGUCUUCGGAUCGUAAAACUCUGUUAUUAGGGAAAAACAUAUGUGUAAGUAACUGUGCACAUCUUGACGGUACCUAAUCAGAAAGCCACGGCUAACUACGUG
rnacentral:rRNA from 1 species